rnacentral:rRNA from 1 species
UGGCUCAGAUUGAACGCUGGCGGCAGGCCUAACACAUGCAAGUCGAACGGUAACAGGAAGCAGCUUGCUGCUUCGCUGACGAGUGGCGGACGGGUGAGUAAUGUCUGGGAAACUGCCUGAUGGAGGGGGAUAACUACUGGAAACGGUGGCUAAUACCGCAUAACGUCGCAAGACCAAAGAGGGGGACCUUCGGGCCUCUUGCCAUCAGAUGUGCCCAGAUGGGAUUAGCUUGUUGGUGAGGUAACGGCUCACCAAGGCGACGAUCCCUAGCUGGUCUGAGAGGAUGACCAGCCACACUGGAACUGAGACACGGUCCAGACUCCUACGGGAGGCAGCAGUGGGGAAUAUUGCACAAUGGGCGCAAGCCUGAUGCAGCCAUGCCGCGUGUAUGAAGAAGGCCUUCGGGUUGUAAAGUACUUUCAGCGGGGAGGAAGGUGUUGUGGUUAAUAACCGCAGCAAUUGACGUUACUCGCAGAAGAAGCACCGGCUAACUCCGUGCCAGCAGCCGCGGUAGUACGGAGGGUGCAAGCGUUAAUCGGAAUUACUGGGCGUAAAGCGCACGCAGGCGGUCUGUCAAGUCGGAUGUGAAAUCCCCGGGCUCAACCUGGGAACUGCAUUCGAAACUGGCAGGCUUGAGUCUUGUAGAGGGGGUAGAAUUCCAGGUGUAGCGGUGAAAUGCGUAGAGAUCUGAGGAAUACCGGUGGCGAAGGCGGCCCCCUGGACAAAGACUGACGCUCAGGUGCGAAAGCGUGGGGAGCAAACAGGAUUAGAUACCCUGGUAGUCCACGCCGUAAACGAUGUCUACUUGGAGGUUGUGCCCUUGAGGCGUGGCUUCCGGAGCUAACGCGUUAAGUAGACCGCCUGGGGAGUACGGCCGCAAGGUUAAAACUCAAAUGAAUUGACGGGGGCCCGCACAGGCGGUGGAGCAUGUGGUUUAAUUCGAUGCAACGCGAAGAACCUUACCUGGUCUUGACAUCCACAGAAGAAUCCAGAGAUGGAUUUGUGCCUUCGGGAACUGUGAGACAGGUGCUGCAUGGCUGUCGUCAGCUCGUGUUGUGAAAUGUUGGGUUAAGUCCCGCAACGAGCGCAACCCUUAUCCUUUGUUGCCAGCGAUUAGGUCGGGAACUCAAAGGAGACUGCCAGUGAUAAACUGGAGGAAGGUGGGGAUGACGUCAAGUCAUCAUGGCCCUUACGACCAGGGCUACACACGUGCUACAAUGGCGCAUACAAAGAGAAGCGACCUCGCGAGAGCAAGCGGACCUCAUAAAGUGCGUCGUAGACCGGAUUGGAGUCUGCAACUCGACUCCAUGAAGUCGGAAUCGCUAGUAAUCGUGGAUCAGAAUGCCACGGUGAAUACGUUCCCGGGCCUUGUACACACCGCCCGUCACACCAUGGGAGUGGGUUGCAAAAGAAGUAGGUAGCUUAACCUUCGGGAGGGCGCUUACCACUUUGUGAUUCAUGACUGGGGUGAAGUCGUAACAAGGUA